ACGCUCGACACCUACGAGAGGCAGCAGUGGGGAAUAUUGCACAAUGGGGGAAACCCUGAUGCAGCGACGCCGCGUGAGUGAAGAAGUAUUUCGGUAUGUAAAGCUCUAUCAGCAGGGAAGAAGAUGACGGUACCUGAGUAAGAAGCCCCGGCUAACUACGUGCCUGCAGCCGCGGUAAUCUGAGCGGGCUGGCAAGGC
rnacentral:rRNA from 1 species